AUUGAACGCUGGCGGCAGGCCUAACACAUGCAAGUCGAACGAGUGGCGGACGGGUGAGUAAUGUCUGGGAAACUGCCUGAUGGAGGGGGAUAACUACUGGAAACGGUAGCUAAUACCGCAUACCAUAAGAUGUGCCCAGAUGGGAUUAGCUAGGUGGUGGGGUAACGGCUCACCAAGGCGACGAUCCCUAGCUGGUCUGAUAGGAUGACCAGCAACACUGGAAAUGAGACACGGCCCAGACUCCUCAGGGAGGCAGCAGUGGAGAAUAUUGCACAAUGGGCGCAAGCCUGAUGCAGCCAUGCCGCGUGUAUGAAGAAGGCCUUCGGGUUUUAAAGUACGUUCAGCGGGGAGGCGUUACCCGCAGAAGAAUCACCGGCUAAUUCCGUGCCAGCAGCCGCGGUAAUUC
rnacentral:rRNA from 1 species